rnacentral:rRNA from 1 species
UACGAAGGGGGCUAGCGUUGCUCGGAAUUACUGGGCGUAAAGGGCGCGUAGGCGGACAGUUAAGUCGGGGGUGAAAGCCCGGGGCUCAACCUCGGAAUUGCCUUCGAUACUGGCUGUCUUGAGUGUGAGAGAGGUGUGUGGAACUCCGAGUGUAGAGGUGAAAUUCGUAGAUAUUCGGAAGAACACCAGUGGCGAAGGCGACACACUGGCUCACUACUGACGCUGAGGCGCGAAAGCGUGGGGAGCAAAC